UGCCUAACAGCUAGCCCACCCAAACAAUUUCAACAAACCCCUGUUAAUAACCCCUAAGUACCCCAGUAUUUAUUUUAAACAAACCAUUUUUCCCCCUUAGUAUAGGCGAUAGAAAAGGGCCCACGGCGCAAUAGAGAAAGUACCGCAAGGGAACGCUGAAAGAGAAGUGAAACAACCCAGUAAAGCCUAAAAAAGCAGAGAUCUAAACUCGUACCUUUUGCAUCAUGAUUUAGCAAGUGUAACCCAAGCAAAGCGUACUUUAGUUUGACGUCCCGAAACUAGGUGAGCUACUCCAAGACAGCCUAUCAAUAGGGCGUACCCGUCUCUGUGGCAAAAGAGUGGGGAGAGCUUUGAGUAGAGGUGACAAACCUACCGAACCUAGUUAUAGCUGGUUGUCCAAGAAAUGAAUAGAAGUUCAGCCUUUCAGCUUCUCUUUUCACCUUAGUCUGACCCCUAUUGAUACAUUAAAGAAACCGAAAGAGUUAGUCAAAGGGGGUACAGCCCCUUUGAAUCAAGACACAACUUUACCAGGAGGGUAAAGAUCAUAAUAAUUAAAGCUAAAUGUUCUGGUGGGCCUAAAAGCAGCCAUCCCCUUAGAAAGCGUUAAAGCUCAGACAUGCGACCAUACUUCUUAUCCUGAUCACUUAAUCUUACCCCCCUAACCGUACUGGACCAUCCCAUGCCAACAUGGGAGUGACUAUGCUGAAAUGAGUAAUAAGAGAGCUACCGGCUCUCUCCCUGCACACGUGUAUAUCGGAACGGACAACCCACCGAACCUUAACGGCCCCAAAUAAAGAGGGCAGUGGAUGUUAGACCAAAAAACUAGAAAAAUAUCCAAAAACCAACCGUUAAACCCACACAGGUGUGCCCCCAGGGAAAGACUAAA
rnacentral:rRNA from 1 species